rnacentral:lncRNA from 1 species
AGCUGGAAUCAUGGCACUGCACUCCAGCAUGGGUGACAGAGCGAGACUUGGUCUAAAAAAUAUAUAUAUAUGUUACAAAGAAAGGCUGGGCUCAUGCCUGUAAUCCCAGCACUUUGGGAAGCCAAAAUGAGAGGAUCACUUGAGGCCAGGAGUUUGAGACCAGCCUGGUCAAUAUAGUGAGACCCCAUCUCAAAAAAAAAAAAAAAAAAUACAAAGAAAUACAAAGGCCCUUUCUGUACCAUAUGGCAUAGUCAUUUCUUCUGCUAUCCCUUCACUUCUUUUCAGCUACCAGGACUUUGGAAAUUUCUUUAUGUUCUUGGUCGGGUGGUCUCUUUCCACAUAGGUUUUUCUUUGGGCAGUGUUACUUAUUUGUAAAUAGGAGAUACGUUCAUUGUUCUCAGUUUACACUGAUUUCUCCCCCGCUUUCCCAAUUUUAACUUUUAUACAACACACAACAGAAAACAUGUCCUUUUGCUGUAUUCGACUGGUAUGCCUCUACUGUUGACUGUGAUAGCUUAACCGUUGUCUUUGUUCAUUUCAGGAGCAAGACACUUCAUACUCUAUAGAUUGGUUAGGGUGUUAAAGCUACAUUAACUUUGCCGGACGUAUAACAAAGGAGCAUUUGAUAGUCUUGUACUUCUCAGUUCAUUAACAAAUUACAUGAUCUCAAUAUAGUGUCACAGAUCCAAAUAGUAAUGUCUAUUCUUUUCUGCAUUUACACCUGUUCCUUUGGCCAUUCAAUAAAUUCAAUGAGAAGCCCUUGUGUACUGUGACUUAAGAAUAAUUGGACAAAUAUUUCUGGAGUUCCUCUAAAUCAAUUUCAUUUCUUGGAGCUCUCCGAUAACAUC